AACGCGAAGAACCUUACCUGGGCUCGAACGACUGGUGGUACCUUAUUUGAAAGGAUGAGGGACCCGCAAGGGAGCCAGCCGAGGUGCUGCAUGGUUGUCGUCAGCUCGUGUCGUGAGAUGUUGGGUUAAGUCCCGCAACGAGCGCAACCCUUGUCCUGUGUUGCUACCCGAAAGGGAGGACUCUCAGGAGACUGCCGCGGAUAACGUGGAGGAAGGUGGGGAUGACGUCAAAUCAUCAUGGCCUUUAUGUCCAGGGCUACACACGUGCUACAAUGGCGUAUACAGAGGGAAGCAAGACCGCAAGGUGGAGCAAAUCCCUAAAGUACGCCCCAGUUCGGAUUGUGGGCUGCAAUUCGCCCACAUGAAGGUGGAAUCGCUAGUAAUCGCAGAUCAGCAGGCUGCGGUGAAUACGUUCCCGGGCCUUGUACACACCGCUACAGU
rnacentral:rRNA from 1 species